AGGAUGAACGCUGGCGGCGUGCUUAACACAUGCAAGUCGAACGGUGAAAGAGGAGCUUGCUCCUCUGGAUCAGUGGCGAACGGGUGAGUAACACGUGAGUAACCUGCCCCAGACUCUGGGAUAAGCACUGGAAACGGUGUCUAAUACCGGAUACGAGCUUCAGCCGCAUGGCUAGGAGCUGGAAAGAAUUUCGGUCUGGGAUGGACUCGCGGCCUAUCAGCUAGUUGGUGAGGUAAUGGCUCACCAAGGCGACGACGGGUAGCCGGCCUGAGAGGGUGACCGGCCACACUGGGACUGAGACACGGCCCAGACUCCUACGGGAGGCAGCAGUGGGGAAUAUUGCACAAUGGGCGCAAGCCUGAUGCAGCAACGCCGCGUGAGGGACGACGGCCUUCGGGUUGUAAGCUCUUUACCCGGGAAGAUAAUGACGUGUACCGGGAGAAGUAAGCCCGGCUAACUCCGCGCCAGCAGCCGCGGU
rnacentral:rRNA from 1 species